UGUUUGAGAUGGCUCAGUGGCAUGGCAUGAGACUCUUAACCUCAGGGUCAUGGUUUUGAGCCCCACAAUAGACAA